AUCUCCACACCGCGGUGAGACAGGAGUGUUAAUGCUCCAUCUACAGACAAGAUCUGAGCUCAGAGACCUAGGAGUAACCCAAACUCACAGCUGGACCCACCAGGCAGAGCCGCACUUGCUGAGAGUUCUUACAGCACCCGGUGCUCCCAUAGGAACUUCCACGGGGAGUCGGAGGAGUGGCUACCUUACCCCGCCUGGGCUCACUGCCCUCCAAAAACUCACGUCACCUGCAGCAUCAGGGCAGGUGGCCGGGAGACUCCAUGCUCCAGCUCUAGCACCGUCUCCUUAUCCUGCAGGAGAGCCAGGCUCUGGAUGCAGGGCAUCAGCAAAGGAGGGGGCUGAUGAAAGGGUGCCCCUCCCCACACGAGGACCACACCGAUGGACUCUCUUUGGUGAGAAAGAGUGUUUGAAAUAUGAGUGGGUUUGUUAGAUUUAGGGGGUUUUGGUUUGUUUGUUUUUCUUUUCUGGAUAGAAAUUUAAAAAGAAAAUUAAGAAAUUAAGACAUUGGCCCAGGAGUCCCAUGCAAAACUGAGGAAGUACCUGGGUGUGGAAGAAAAGCCUUGCCAGGGAGACAGAUCCUGGCGUCUCGGGGCACCACCGUGCUUAGGGAGCAAUGGAGGCUGGCUGCAAGGUCAGGAGAGGGGUAUCAGGAAGUCCUGGAGGAGAGGAGGUCUGUCCACUCCACAGCUGCCCAAGGGCCCCACCAUGGGUCUCAGAGGCUCGGCCAGCCCCUCAUGAGGCCCGGGAAGCCAGAAGCUGCCACUUCUUACACGAGAGGAAGCAGGCUGUGCUGGAGGGGUGAGUGUGAGCUGCAGCAGAGUUUGCAGGUGUGUGCAUGGGUGUGCAAGGUGGCAGAGGCCCGGGGUGAGGGGAUGGAGCCUAGUCUGAUGGGCUGGGGUGGGACUGAUCUGCCUGCCUGCCGAGGGGAGCCAUCCAGUCUCCUCUCAAUACCACCAAUUUCCCUUCUGCCCAAACCACCACACUGCCACGGUCCUGCUCAGCAGGAAGGAGCCAGUGUGCCCCCAGGGUUCUGGGUCAGAAGAGCCUUGCCCCUCCACCCCUGCUCCGCCCUGGGCUCCUUCCCUUCUGCUGCUUCUCAUGGGUCACUUUCCCACUGCUUCUGCUGGGGACAGAGAGUAGUAACUAAUGCCCCCACCCUAAGAAAGCCCUGUGGAGGACAGUGGCUCAGAAGGACCUGGGAGACGGGGUGUCCACCAGACUCAACCCUCAUCCAGGUCCAAGGCCCUGCCUAUGCUGCCCUCCACUACCCACCUCAACCUCCCUCCCCAAGGGCAUCCUGAGCACUGCUGUGACCCAGACAUCCCUUGCUGCCCCUUCACCCAAGGUCAAGUGCUCCCACAGCAGUCCCAGAAUGGACAAGAGCCAGGUCCUGGGAGGCAAGUGGUGGAGGGAAGACAGUGGUGGCGGGGGGGUGGAGUGGAUGCGCCCGAGGGAAAGACAGGUACCAGGGAGCCAGAUGGGCCAGGCGGGAACAGAAGUUAAGUGGGAAGAGACGGAUAAACAGCAGACACCAAGCAACCAGCCAAGCAUAUGCUCCACAAGCAGGCGACACGCGCACUCAGUAGGUUGGGGGACGUGGACCCGCGGCAGGGGGACGGUGGGUUUGCUGCAGCUGACUGCUGCCUGGCCGGAGCUGGGGAUCCACUUCCUCUGCGUGGAGCUUCAGAACCGCAGGGCAGCCAGGGGCAGGCUGGGGGAGGAGCUCCUGGGCCAGCUGCCCCAGGCUUGGUCUCUGGUGGAAGAACUGAAUCCCAGACUUGGACGUCUGAAUAGCCAGGUGCUGGCUCUGGGACCCCAAAGCAGAGACCUGCAGAGCUGAGUGGGAUUCAGGAGAUGUGAAGCAAGCCGGGAAGUCCUGGAGCCCCUGGGUGCCAGCUUCCUACUACUGAAGCCAAAGCCGGUCCAGGCUGGAGCCCUCAGGCGGGUGAUGUCAUCCCUUUGAGCUCCUGGAGGGAAGGGGUGGAGCCAGGCUGAGGCUAUACUGACUCCACAGGCUCCACCCCCAGACCAGCUCAGCUUGAGACCGGUUUCCCAGCUCCAACCAGGCGCUUGCAGAAACUGCAGAGCAGCAGGAGGGGGAAGGGAGGAAGGUCAUGCAGAUUCAUCCCUGCAGAAAGCUUACCUGGGGCCCUCGUCCACCACGUCCACUCCACCUCGGAGAGCCCUGAGCUUCCAAGGCCCUGGCCAGCUGGCAGGCACCCGUUUCCUGGUAUCCCAGCCUCAGCCUCCCUCUCCCCACAGCAGGUCCAGAAAUGUUCAUCUGCUCUGCAAAGUACCAGGUGUCCCAGUGGAAUUUCUUCUCUAAAUAGCGUUACCUCAGGCUUGUUAGUGCUGAGCUAAAGGAAUAAAGGCUCUGAGCCGAAUCUGAGACUGUUCUAAGCCCCAAAGCCAGACAGCCCUCUUGCAAAACGGCCCCAUCACCUCUCACAUGCUCCCUCUGGACAAAAGCCAGCUCAGUGCCAGCUGCUGGCCUCCUUCCAUAGUUGGCAUUGGCCCCAGCAUCCUGCGUGCCUGCCUCCAGGGCUGCCCCAGCCUGUACCAGCCACUGUGGCUUGGAGCACUGAGGACUCCGGGCUGGGCAAAAAUCUGGCCUUCCCAUGCUCAUUUUGGAUGCCAAGGUGCUAUUGGGGGGUGGCCCCAAGGUAACUGAGCUGAGUGGCACUGCUGCAAGAAUAGCCCCAGCCUGGUCUGGGAACUCGCCACACCACAAGGACUCUUGUUCUGGACUCAGCUGCUUGGCAUGGCCCCAGGGCCCAGAAGCAGAGAGCCCCGUGGGCCCACGUGCCCAGGCAGAUGCUGGGCUCAAUGCCAGGCCCUCCUGACCCUUCCUAAGCCCUUGGCUGCGUAGCCAGGAUGUAUUUGGGAGAAGCAGGAGCGAGGAUGAGGGUGAAACAAGCAAGAAGGAGAGGAGUACAAUUUUUUUUUGUUGUUGUUGUUGUUGUCUUUUUGCUAUUUCUUGGGCCGCUCCUGCGGCAUAUGGAGGUUCCCCGGCUAGGGGUCGGAUCGGAGCUGUAGCUGCCAGCCUGCGCCAGAGCCACAGCAACGCAGGAUCCGAGCCGCGUCUGCAACCUAUACCACAGCUCACGGCAGCGCCGGAACCUUGACCCACUGAGCAAGGGCAGGGAUCGAACCCGCAACCUCAUGGUUCCUAGUCGGAUUUGUUAACCACUGCGCCACGACGGGAACUCCCGGAGUACAAUUUUUGCUUUGGUUCACUGAGCCCUGGACCAGGACCCUGGCAAGACCAGCUCCAGGAUCCAUUCACACCAGGAGAAUGCUGCCCUACCAUUGCAGUUCGUCGACUGGACAUCAUACAUGAAAACAAACGCCCUGAUAGCCCACAGUAUCAUGCAUGUUACACUUCUGAACCUGCUUUCUUCCAUAUCAGGUUUGAAUCCUGUAGUAUUGCCAUGAUGGAGAUAAAGUGGAUGGUAUUUUAAUCCCCUUUAUGGAGGAGAAAGCGAGGCCAGACUAGAGCAUCUCUUUAUCAAUAGCCUCACAAGGCGUGUUAUGUGUUAUGCAGAGAUAAAUUGCAGAGAUAAAUGAGCAACUUGUUC
rnacentral:lncRNA from 1 species